UUGGGCUUCUGAAAAGACACAGAAGGUCUCCGCCUUCUUCGUUUGUGUCGUCUAUUGUUCUACGUUACGGAAGACAGAUGAAUCCAAUUGUCGCUUUUAACACACUCAUUAAAAAAUCUCCCACUACUCACACGAUUUGUGAUUCAAUGCAUCCCUCAUUACUUCCAUUUUGUAAUUCUUCCACUAUAAAUUGGCGAGCCCGUGUACCUCAACCAUCUAGCUUCGCCUGCUUAGGUUUGGAAGCAAAAGAUGUGAAACGCGGAGGCGAGCUUAUGGGGUAGACAUGUUCACUGUCGAGGCAGAGACAAUUUCGAUACGAGCAGUGGUCUCUACGACCUUCACCUCUCGAGAAUCAUCACCAUCAUCAUCAGCUCAUAAAAGCGAAGGAGAGAUACUUACCAAAUCGAACGUUAAGAACUUUAGAUUUCGCAAACUUUGCGGAGUUGCAUCAUGUUCGUUGCUUUUAUAGUUCUUUCUUUUGUUUUCUGCUACUCAUUACUGGAGCAUGAUAUCACAUUAUCUUGCAGGAUUUGAGAAACUUUAUGUUUUUUUGUGUGUUUGGAACUACCAGACACAGGUGGGUGUUUAAUUUUGUUUUUUUUUUUAAUCUGGAUUCAGAUGUACAUAUGUUCCUUCCAAUGAAAAAAUUGUGAUAAAUAAUAACCGAAAUUGCAACUAAAAUAUUAUUAUCUUUAUGUGUUCUAUGAGGCUUAGCAGUCUUUUCAUAGAUUUGUAGGCUGCUUUUAUGGCGCAUGGAUCUUAUUCUAAUCUGAAUCUUGCUUGACAAUCCUCAGGUGACCGAAAGUCUUUCUAGGCGACCAAAUUACCAUCUCAUCAAUCCUUUCUUAUUUGAAUUCCGACCGCUGCUCCUCAACGGUUGAAGUGUGAUUGCCACUGAUGAAGUUUCGGUUGAAGAGGAAACAUCGAUGCUUUUGUCAAUAGGUUCGAUAUCAGAGCAGCAGCCACAAGUGAAAAUAGAGAUUUGUGUGGCGUUAAUCAAGAUGCUUCUACUGGAGCUUGAAAAACCAUCUAAUCUGAAGUAUUUCGAACCUUAGCAAGAAUGUGAAACAAUUGCUGUCUCGGGUUUAAUUGACUACCAGAACAAGUAAGAGCAUGACUGCUGCCAUUCAUAUGAGGAUGUUUGUGACACAUUUAGAAACAAAGGGUCAUUGGAAAAAAGAGCGGGAGGGAAGAUAGCGACAUAGCAGCUGGUGGACGUGGAGAAGUGCAAUUACCUUACUGUUGAUUUCUUAAGCUUCACGAGCUCUGGGAAUGUCCACUGUUUUUUUCGGUUGUGGUCGGUGGUUCAGACAUGGAAGAGACUUAUGGUUAUUUAAUUUUUGUGAGAGGAUUCUGUCUCCAAGUGGGAUGGCAUCAUGCCUAUCGCUCAUUACAGCUACACAGUUUGUUCUUCUUUGUUUGUAUAUGUUUUUGACCAUUACCUUAUGCAUACGCUCCCAUAUAUCAACAAUAUUUUUUUAGUUGUGAUCCGGUUGACAAAAAAAAGAGUUAUGUAGAUCUUCACUCA